AUGAACGCUGGCGGCGUACCUAAUACAUGCCCGUCGAGCGAACGGACGAGAAGCUUGCUUCUCUGAUGUUAGCGGCGGACGGGUGAGUAACACGUGGAUAACCUACCUAUAAGACUGGGAUAACUUCGGGAAACCGUAGCUAAUACCGGAUAAUAUUUUGAACCGCAUGGUUCAAAAGUGAAAGACGGUCUUGCUGUCACUUAUAGAUGGAUCCGCGCUGCAUUAGCUAGUUGGUAAGGUAACGGCUUACCAAGGCAACGAUGCAUAGCCGACCUGAGAGGGUGAUCGGCCACCCUGGAAAUGAGACACGGUCCAGACCCCCAGGGGAGGCAGGAGUAGGGAAUCUUCCGCAAUGGGGGAAAGCCUGACGGAGCAACGCCGGGUGGGUGAUGAAGGUCUUCGGAUCGUAAAACUCUGUUAUUAGGGAAAAACAUAUGUGUAAGUAACUGUGCCAAUUUUGACGGUACCAAAUCAAAAAGCCCCGGCAACCUAGGU
rnacentral:rRNA from 1 species